GCUGCUCGUUGUCGAUCAGUAAAAAUUCAGGAGCUUUUAUAAAAUGCAGAUGUGAUGUCAGUUCUUUCUCUAGGAAACAAAAACAAUGAAGUUUCAGCCUGGCCUGACUAGCAAGUAAUGAGUGCUGCCAUCCUAUCAACACAAGUUUGCCUUUUCCAGUGAAGCUCUUAAAUCACACAAAAACACCUUCAGAAGCAUCAAGGUGGCUCCUGGCUCAUCUUGGCUGUGCUGUCGACCACCAAUGGACACCAUUGCCACUCCUCCAUGGCCAGCAUUGUAGGUCUCUGCCUCUUGGUGAGGCCCUGGGAAGGUGGGAUGUGACCUUCUGCUUCAUCCCUGCUGUGAGUGGAUCCAGG
rnacentral:lncRNA from 12 species